UCAGUGUUCUAAAACAGCGACUGUUGAUGCUAACUGUUAGCAUAUCAAUGACGUUUUCCAUUCAUUGGGUUGUUCUUUAUUAGCAUUCAAAUAGCGGCCGUUCCUACGGCAAAGCUGUGGUUGUUUUACACAAGCAACUUGUAGUUCUCUUUGUUUUAUGCUUAGUUUGACCAUAAAUUUAAAGUGGGAGUGGCAUAUAACAGCUUGAAACUCUCUUUUUUUGGGGGGGGGGUGAAAUGUUCACCAGUUGCUGCGAUUGGCUGGCAACUGGUUCUGGUGUACUCAGCUUCUUGCACUUGCUUCUUGAAGUCAGCUGAGAUAGGCGCCAGCACACCCGUUACCCGGGUGAGGAUAAGCGGUUAAGAGAAGGGAUGGAUGAUCACCAUUUGUUAAAGUGGUGCCGAUUGCGAAGUGAGUUGAAUUGAGUUUACUGCCACCAGAAAGCGCUCCUAUGUUAAAUUGACGCUCGCAAAUCAAAGCAAAACGGCCGAAUGAAGGCUCAUAUCUUGCAAAAAAACUCGUGUCGAGUUACUUGUAUCUCAAGGUACACCACUGGACCUCGUAGUCCACCUUUCCGUGGACCUCACCUGGAGUCGAAACCCUUCCCGUCUGCUCAAGAAGGCGUAACAUCUCUACUUCAUCCGGAAGCUGCGACAUGCCAGACUGGGGCGCCAUGUCUUGAGGAGCUUCUACAGAUGUGGUGGAGAGUGUCCUCAGCUUCAGCAUCACGGUGUGGCACAGCAGCUGCUCGGCUGCAGAGAGGAAGGCAUUACAAAGGGAGGUAAAUGGAUCCGCGAGGCCGCCAAGACCCACAAGCUGGAGGAGCAGGAGCUGGCACACGCUGUCAACGCCAGCGCCACGGUGCUGACCAAGGUCAAGCUGUCCAGCCCUAAGGUUUUGGAUAAAUCACUCAAACAAGUGUUCAUUUUGAGUUUUGGAGUCGCAGCACAGCCGUGGAAAUUGUCAACAGCAGCAAAGUUCUCCAGGCAGAGACAACCAUGCUUCUGGAUGGAAAACAUCCGUCCGAGUUCGCCGAGGAAGAGGGGCUCCGCUUAACCCUGAACAGCCUGAGUGCUGAGCUCCACAAACUGGAUGACAUCCAGUUUGUCCACUCACGCAUUGUGCCGAGGAGUGUCGACACGUUGCUUGUAUGCAGCAGACUACAGCCAUCUUUUAGAAACAACACGAUGGAAACCGCCUUCAGACUGAAAUGAGACUU